CAUCUACAGGCGACAACACAGCUUGGUAUUUGGGGCAUGUUCAUGUUUUCUUGGUUUCUUUCUUAGACUUUGUAUACUUAAUUUUUGUACAGUAAGAUCACGGGAUGUGUGCACAACACAUGCAUGUUUAUCACAGGUGGGUUGAUGAGUAAUUUUUUAUGUUCUAUAAACAAACAAAAAACUCCUUUUGUUCCUAUUUAAUAGGUCAAACUGGUCAGAACACGUAACUACAGGAGAUAGUUAAGCAUUGUGUUUAGAGGUAAAGAUGGAGACAAGGGAAGAAACUUUGCUUCUCCAAGGGAAACAAUUGUUUUCAAGACAGCCAUCCCUGACACAAACGUUUUCCAGGAAAUAGUGGAACAUCCUCCAGUCAUGUAUAAAUGGCAGUGCGUGAAACAGUGGCACAGUUCUUUCUUCAUUGAAAACUUACACAAGUGUUCUAAUGUACCACAAUUUUGCCUACCUGUAUGUAAAAGUUGUGUCAAAUAUCUCUUCUAGUUGGUUGUUCCAAGUUUCCAGUGAAUUAGACAGUUGCCAAGCUAAAUGGAAAACAGAGAUGAAAAAAGUGUCAUUGAAUGAUCAUAAAAUAAAA